rfam:Streptomyces tsukubensis NRRL18488 Contig399, whole genome shotgun sequence.
CCCGCAGGCGGCCGCCUGUGGGGUCCUGACAUCGGUACCUGAUACGGCCGGUGCAG